rnacentral:rRNA from 1 species
GGUUAAGCGACUAAGCGUACACGGUGGAUGCCCUGGCAGUCAGAGGCGAUGAAGGACGUGCUAAUCUGCGAUAAGCGUCGGUGAGGUGAUAUGAACCGUUAUAACCGGCGAUUUCCGAAUGGGGAAACCCAGUGUGUUUCGACACACUAUCAUUAACUGAAUCCAUAGGUUAAUGAGGCGAACCGGGGGAACUGAAACAUCUAAGUACCCCGAGGAAAAGAAAUCAACCGAGAUUCCCCCAGUAGCGGCGAGCGAACGGGGAGGAGCCCAGAGCCUGAAUCAGU